CCUACGGGUGGCAGCAGUAGGGAAUAUUGCUCAAUGGGGGAAACCCUGAAGCAGCAAAGUCGCGUGGAGGAUUAAGGUUCUACGAUUCUUAACCCUUUUUUUUAGGGGAGCUUGUGCCGGUAUCUGUCGCAUCACCACCAGCUACCUCAGUGCCAGCAGCCGCUGUAAUACGGAGGGUGGAAGCGUUACUCGGAAUCAUUGGGCGUAAAUAGGGCGUUGGCGGGGUAAUAAGUCAGAUGUGAAAUCCUGUAGCUUAACUCCAGAACUGCAUUUGAAACUGUUACUCUGGAGUGUGGGAGAGGAAGGUGGAAUGCUUGGUGUAGGGGUAAAAUGCGUAGAGAUCAAGAGGAAUACGCAUUGCGAAGGCGGCCUGCUGGAGCAUUACUGACGCUGAUGCACGAAAGCGUGGGGAUCGAACAGGAUUAGAUACCCUGGUAGUC
rnacentral:rRNA from 1 species